AAACAAUCAGCGCUUUGUUGCCUUAUGUGAACCAAGCUCUUGUAUGCUUCAGGUAGAUAACUAGCAUUGUUCUUGGGUGAACCUCUGUGCUUUGCAUUUGUUGCAUUUUGUGACUGAAGGCUCAGUUAAUGAUGCCACAUUU